AGUUUGUUACUAAAAAAGACCAUGAACAUGAUUUUAAUCUCUUUAUAUAUUUAAACUAUUCAAUUAAGUAAGCUCUCUAGAUUAUUUAGUUUUGAUUUGCUAAAAAUUCAAGUACUUUACUUUCAGUUCAGUCUUUAAAGUUAGCUAUUUUUUAGAUCAAAGAUUAAAUUUAUUGGAUUUCU
rnacentral:sRNA from 1 species